GCUUGUCUCAAAGCUUAAGCCAUGCAAGUCUCAGUACAAACUGCAUUAAAGUGAAACCGCAAAAGGCUCAGUAAACCAGUCAUGAUUUACAUGAGUAAACGUGACUGUCUUUGGAUAACUGUGGUAAUCCUAGAGCUAAUACAUGCAAUCAAGUCCCGACCAGUUCCACUGGGAAGGACGCUUUUAUUAGAUCAAGACCAAUCGCCUGGCUCCGGUCGGGCGUUUCCUUGGUGACUCUAGGUAACACAUCAGAUCGCACGGUCUCGCACCGGCGACUCAUCCUUCAAAUGCCUGACUUAUCAACUGACGAUGGUAGACUCCAUGUCUACCAUGGUGAUAACGGGUAACGGGGAAUCAGGGUUCGAUUCCGGAGAGGGAGCCUGAGAAACGGCUACCACAUCCAAGGAAGGCAGCAGGCACGCAAAUUACCCACUCCCGGCACGGGGAGGUAGUGACAAAAAAUAACGAUACGGGACUCAUUUGAGGCCCCGUAAUCGGAAUGAGUACACUUUAAAUCCUUUAACGAGGAUCCAUUGGAGGGCAAGUUCGGUGCCAGCAGCCGCGGUAAUUCCGACUCCAAUAGCGUAUAUUAAAGUUGUUGCGGUUAAAAAGCUCGUAGUUGGUUCUGCGUGCCACGCUGUCGGUUCACCGCCUGCCGGUGCUACUGGCAUGCCGUGGCAUGUCCUGUCGGUGGGUGUCUGGGGCCCCGUGCGGGCGGCAGGAGGCCGGGCUUGCUCGCGCUCCUCCCUGCACGUCGGCGGGUUCACUCCGGCUCCCUACUAUCCUACCUAGGUGCUCUUCACCGAGUGUCGAGGUAGGCCGACACGUUUACUUUGAACAAAUCAGAGUGCUCAAAGCAGGCUGAAUAAUUCUGCCUGAAUGAUGGCGCAUGGAAUAAUAAAACAGGACCUUGGUUCUAUUUUGUUGGUUCUUAAGAUCACAAGGUAAUGAUCAAUACGGACAGGCGGGGGCAUUCGUAUUGCGGGGUUAGAGGUGAAAUUCUUGGAUCCUCGCAAGACGACCGAGAGCGAAAGCAUUUGCCAAGGUAUGGUUGCAAAGCUGAAACUUAAAGGAAUUGACGGAAGGGCACCACCAGGAGUGGAGCCUGCGGCUUAAUUUGACUCAACACGGGAAACCUCACCAGGUCAGGACAUUGUCAGGAUUGACAGAUUGAUAGCUCUUUCUUGAUUCAGUGGGUAGUGGUGCAUGGCCGUUCUUAGUUGGUGGAUCGAUUUGUCUGGUUAAUUCCGAUAACGAACGAGACUCUAGCCUAUUAACUAGACGGUUCGGGAGCCCACGUCUCCCGCGAAGUUCACUCUUCUUAAGGGGACAGGCGGCUUAUAGUCGCACGAGAUUGAGCAAUAACAGGUCUGUGAUGCCCUUAGAUGUCCUGGGCCGCACGCGCGCUACAAUGAAAGAAUCAGCGUGUGUCUCCCAGCCCGAGAGGGCCGGGUAAUCCGCUGAACCUCUUUCGUGCUUGGGAUUGUAGCUUGCAAUUGUUCUUCAUGAACGAGGAAUUCCCAGUAAGCGCGAGUCAUAAGCUCGCGUUGAUUACGUCCCUGCCCUUUGUACACACCGCCCGUCGCUACUACCGAUUGAAUGAUUUAGUGAGGUCUUCGGACCGGCGGGAAAUCCCUACGGUUUCGGCCGUAUCGACGAACGCUGGGAAGAUGACCAAACUUGAUCAUUUAGAGGAAGUAAAAGUCGUAACAAGGUUUCCGUAGGUGAACCUGCGGAAGGGAUCA
rnacentral:rRNA from 1 species